GGGGGCACAUGCACAAUCCUGCUUGAAAUUCAAUCAUACUGGCGGCUCGCUAUCAUUUACUGCACGAGCAGCCAAGUUUAUUAAAGAGAAUAACAAAAAGCAGCCUUUCGUGGAGCACUUCAAGGAGACACACAUACGCCAUCGACAGAGAAAGGAUGUGUGGAUAAACGAUAAGGCAAAGUAAGCUCAUCAAGAAAUUGUUAGAAUCACUUCUGAUGUCACAAAUCCUCAAACAGAAGAACAUGCUUCCAUUAAGGUGCUUGGGAAGAGAUCUGGCUACUUGAAAGGAUAUGGAAUUCGCAAGAACACUAAAGCAAAUGCAAUGUCGUCCCAACCAAUACCAAAUCCAGAGGUGGUUGCUCUUCAAAGAAAAAUUGGCUAAUCAUGAGAAAGUCGUGGCUAAUUAUGAGAAAGCCAUGGCUGAUCAAGCUAAAAUGUUCCAAAAUAUGCUGAUGAUGGUGGUAAUGAAAUCUGGAAUAGAUCCAGCUUGCAUUCCGGGGCUAGUUUCAUGCAGUGGAAAUGAAAAGGAUGACACAUUGGUUGAAAAGGAAGAUGACGAAGCUGGUUAUUAAGAUGGUCACAUGGGUGCUGAAUUCAAAUACUUAAAAGAGUUUUUGGAUAUUGUUUUUGACACUAUGCUGCUGGUGAUAUAUUUGGUAAAAUCUCAAUGCAUUAACAUAUAUUGAGACUAGUUUUUUGGAUGCAUAUAUGUUGGAUGUAUGAAUUAUCACAUAUUUUGAAGUGUCAUGACUUAUGGUUGAUGCGUUUAGGAUUUGAUAUGGAUGUAUGUGAAGUUUUAUAAAAUAUUUUGGCAUGGAUUUUGGAUGAUAUGAACAAAUAAAUAGAUUAGGAAUGAAAAUCUGAAUAGCUAAAACAGGUUUAUAACCCAAAAAGAAAUCAAUUGUUCCUACACGUUGCUCUCUUUUCCCCCUUCUCUCCUCUCCUUUACCAAGGCAAUGUGUAGCCCCUGGUCCCCCUACCUUCUCGUUACCAGAUAUGGUUUUCGCUUUUCGAAGUAUACGUACAUUGCAUCUGAUAUUCAACUUAAUGCUUACAAGGCUCUCGACCUGGAACCAGUCAAAGCACAUCAGAGACAAAUUUUGAAAGUGUCGUGGCAUUGCUCACUCCCUCUCCUCAGGUGCUUCGAUCAAAAUGUCAGGUACACACCAUCACAUGAAGUUCUCACUUUUGAUACCCUAUUUUAUGCGAUCUCUUCUUGUUUUCUCAAUUUUACUUGAGGAGAAACUUGGACUGUUUUUCACUUUUGUGGUAUUUUUGUGUCUCUGUAUAGGGAAGCUAGACAAAUUCAAUAAUGGGGCAGAAAAUAGAUUGUUUUGUAUUCCUUGCUGAACUUUCUUGAUAGCACCUAAGAGGUUCGAACCUAAGACUUUAGAGGAAAGCAAACCCUUAAGUCCCAAGACUUGACCAGUAGGCCAACCCCUUGGGGUUAAAUUAGUAGUGAUGUUAAGAAGAUGUUUUGUUUGAUUGAGUUCAUACUCAUUUUGUUUACUUUUACUUUUUUUUUCUGAGUUGUUUACUUUUAGUUGGUAUUUGGUGAACACUGAACUAGUGUUGAAAUUUGAAAGGGCGAAAUUAACAAUGCUAAGAGUUUUUGUAAAAUUGUUGAGUUAUGCACAUGUUUUUUACUUCAGCGGGGAUUUCGUGUACAAAAAAUUGAGAAGGGGAAAGAAAUUAGCAAUGCUAAUGUGCACAGUGUGCUACUUAUGUUGUGCACUGCUAAUACACGUAACCAUGUGGUUUUGCAACUACCCUACUAAUCUGUUGAACUUUUG